GAAUGCCCGAGUGUCCGGAAAUGAGACGGUUUCCGAUCGUUCCGGACGCCGCCAUUCGGCCGUUCUAAACGGUCGUCAUUCA
rnacentral:tRNA from 1 species